rnacentral:rRNA from 4 species
UGUUGACCUCGGAUCAGGUAGGAAUACCCGCUGAACUUAAGCA